UACGAAGGGGGCGUAGCGUUGCUCGGAAUCACUGGGCGUAAAGGGUGCGUAGGCGGGUCUUUAAGUCAGGGGUGAAAUCCUGGAGCUCAACUCCAGAACUGCCUUUGAUACUGAAGAUCUUGAGUUCGGGAGAGGUGAGUGGAACUGCGAGUGUAGAGGUGAAAUCCGUAGAUAUCGGGAGGAACACCAGUGGCGAAGGCGGCUCUCUGGACAGAUACUGACGCUGAGGCGCGAAAGCGUGGGGAGCAAACAGGG
rnacentral:rRNA from 1 species